rnacentral:tRNA from 1 species
GCGGGCAUAGCUCAAGUGGUAGAGCACGUGCUUAGCAUGCACAAGGUCCUGGGUUCAAUCCCCAGCAUCUCCU